ensembl:lncRNA
UUUUUAUUUUUUUGUCUUUUUGCCUUUUCUAGGGCCACUCCUGUGGCAUUUAGAGGUUCCUAGGCUAGAGGUCUAAUCGGAGCUGUAGCUGCUGGCCUACACCAGAGCCACAGCAACGCAGGAUCCGAGCUGAGUCUUCCAACUACAUCACAGCUCAUAGCAACGCCGGAUCUUUAACCCACUGAGCAAGGCAAGGGAUCAAACCUGCAACCUCAUGGUUCCUAGUCGGAUUCAUUAACCACUGAGCCACAAUGGGAACUCCAGAUUUACUUUUAAUUAGAGGAAAAUUCAAUCUCUAAAAAAAAAAGGGGGUGGUGAUUUAAAAGGGGAUAGGUAACUAAAACCCAUUGCAAAAUUUAAAAACAACAACAAAAUCCUUUCCACCAGAAGUGGACGUUAUUUGUUCUCACCUCCAUUGAUACCAUGCAUAUCAUAAUUUAAUCUAUAUCUCACUACAACACUUCCAAAAGCUAUGAUUGAGGCAAUAAUGGCCAAGUCAGCGAUGAGAUACCUGGAAGCAUUGAAAGACUCACACCCACCGAGCACUUGGGCAGACUUCAGGAGUGGGAAUAAAUUCAGAAACUUCUGUUUUUAGAUAUGUUAAAAGAAGGGGAUUUUGUCUGCAUCAAUAUAGAUAAGAAACAAAUACACACUUAGUCCUCACCUUUGACCCCAGCUAUAUUAUUCUCAAUAACAUUCUCAUCUAGCUUGAAUACUAAUUUCAAGACUGAUUAUGUCAUGAAAUGUAAUUGUUCUCCUUUCCUUUAUCCUCCCUCCAACAAGGAUGCUGACCUAACUUUAACAGAUCCCUCAUUUAUUACAAAUAANAUAUAUCUUCUAAUACAUUGGUACAUUGACAACUAUUUUGUCUCUUUAAAACUGAGAAUGAUAAGUUCAUAUUUUAAUUUCAAUUUCAAAUUUUAGUCAUCAAAUUGAUUUUUCUUCUGGCUGUUUCUGCUUCAGCUAAUCUAAUGUAUGAAACUGUAUGAACCUAACAGCUUUCUUCUAUAUUCAUUAUCAUAGUUCAUUCCGAAAAAUAAAGUCUUUUAUACUUCACCCAAUCUGAUCUGUUUGCUAAAUAUGUCGCUCAUUUUUUGGCUUUUGGGAGAGUCAGAUCUUUUUGGUGGGUGCUGUCAUUUGAGGAAGGAGCAAGGCUGACCAAGAAGUUCCAUCGAAAGGAGAUGGAGCUUCCACAGCUGAAUGAUGGGAAUAGACCCUUCAAUGAUUUAGUCCUGUCUUUUGGCAUUAAGAAGCUCUAACUCCAUUUGCAGAUAAAAUAAGUCUUCAAGUUAUUAUAUCCAAUGUAAACAUCCAUCUGUGGUACUUUAUAUAUAAAUUAUUACUCUGAAAAGAACUAAAAUUAAGAUUUCAACUUGCUUGAGCAGAAUCUCAUUUCCUAGAAGUACAGUAGGAGCUACAUUUCAAGGAAAUGACAUUCAUCUUCACACUGAGACUGAAGACUUGGCAGCCUGAUACGUAGCUGCCCAGAGAAUGGCAGAAACAGCGAGAGAUGCAUGGAGUAUUAAAAAGGAGGCAGGCAUUCUCUCAGAAACAAUGCUUUUUUAAUACUUUCCUGCCACUCAAUAAAGAUCACCUCAGCUAACUCGAUGUGUUAGAUUUUAUCUUUCCAGCCACAAAGCUGUGACAAAGUCUUUCAUUAACUUCAAGCAGCGCAUUCAGAAAACUCUAUAUGUAUGGUAUACGUUUGCUUAACCGGAUCAACAAUAAAUUAAAAAAAAAAAAAAAAAACAAAAUGAAAAAACCCCAACAAAAAACAACCAAAAAACCACUUUGCUU